rnacentral:lncRNA from 1 species
UUUAAAUCACUCAUGAAUAUUUACUUAACCUAAAUCAAGUUUGAUUCUUCACAAAUUAUAUAAUUUUAUUUACCUAAUGUGUCUAAAUGAUAUAAUACAAAUUUGGGUUUGAAUCAUCUUAAUAUGCGGACCAAUGAUAUUUAUGAUAAGUGAUCGUCAUUUGUCUUAAAUAUUAUUAGUUCACCAAUUAGAGUAAUUUAAUCCAAACUUUACCUAAUUUUUUUAAACAACUCCUUGCUUAAUUAGUUGUAGCCUCAAUACAAUAGACAUGUUGAAGAAUUUUGGCUUAAUUGCACAUUUAGUCCACCAACUUUGCCCUUCCUGUGAAAAUCAUCCCCCAACUAAGAAUUUAGCAAAAACCGUCCUUUUAGGGGAUGAUUUUCGCACGAAGACAACGGUGGGGUGUAAACUUUCGGGACGAUUUUUACUAAUUUCAUAAUUGGGGGACGAUUUUUGCAGGAAGGCAAAGUUGGGGGACCAAAUGUUCAAUUAAGCCAAGAAUUUUCACAAAACAUGGGACUUAGAGUUCAAGCAACCAAAUGUUUAGUCAUAUUUAAGUCAAUGUAGUAUUUUCUUCCUUAAAUAUGAGCAUACAUACUCUAAUACGGCCAUACGUGUGCAUGAGACUUAGUUGGAAUCCCUUACAUCAAAAUAUCAAAAUAUAUAUGACUCGUUUGGUUGUUAGGAUAAGAUAAAAGCAGAAUAUGAUAAAUGAUUGAAUAAGAACAUGAUAUGUCAGACUCUUAUCAUAUCCUGUGUUUGAGGUGAACAAGAUAUUGAUAGGAUAUGAUAGAAACAAUGAAAAAUAAAUCAAAAUUUCAUUUGAAAUAAAAAAUUCAUAAUAUUGAUAAGUUGAUAUCCUAUCCUAGGAUAAUUUCUAUCAUAACUCCCCCUCAGGAUAACUUUUACACAUGAUAGACAAGAUAGCAUACGAGACAUGAUAGUGUUAUCCUAUCAUGUUGAUGCAACAAACAACAUAUUACAGCAGGAUAGGAUUACUGAUUGUUUAUCAUGUCCACCAAAUAGGCCCAUAACGAGCAAUGAUAUAUACACACCUCAUUUUUUAAACACUUCAUUUCCACCUCUUUUUAUUUCUCUCUCUCAUUUUAUCAUCUAUCACAUCUCAUAUUUUCUCUCUCAUACUUUUUAUUUUCUUUCUAUCUCUCUCACCAUUCCACCUCUCCACCUCAAAAGAGAGGUGUGGAUGAAACAUUACUCCGUCAUAAUCUUCUAUAGACCGUAAGUUAAUGCUCUUGGUGGAAAAUAAAAUAUGUGUGAUUAAAAAAAUAGUAUAUUUUCUAUUCAGUCAAUCAUGUGAUUAAAAACAGUACUUUUAUGGGCUGCUCUCCCUUCCAAGUUUUGUUUUUUUUCAAUAAAUCAAGAAGUUAAUAAUUAUUAUUUUUUGAA